rnacentral:rRNA from 1 species
UCAGAAACUACAAAGGAAGUUGACGGGGCCCGGCGACAAGCGGUGGAGUAUGUGGUUUAAUUCGAUGCAACGCGAAGAACCUUACCUGGUCUUGACAUCCCGGAGACCCUUAGGAAACUAGGGGUGCUUCCAUCUGGAAGAAUCUGGAGACAGGUGCUGCAUGGCUGUCGUCAGCUCGUGUCGUGAGAUGUUGGGUUAAGUCCCGCAACGAGCGCAACCCUUGCCUUUAGUUGCCAGCAGUUCGGCUGGGCACUCUAAAGGGACUGCCGGUGUUAAACCGGAGGAAGGUGGGGAUGACGUCAAGUCCUCAUGGCCUUUAUGACCAGGGCUACACACGUACUACAAUGGCCGAUACAAAGGGCAGCGACACUGCGAGGUGAAGCCAAUCCCGUAAAAUCGGUCUCAGUCCGGAUUGGAGUCUGCAACUCGACUCCAUGAAGUUGGAAUCGCUAGUAAUCGUGGAUCAGCAUGCCACGGUGAAUACGUUCCCGGGCCUU